UGGUCCGGGGCGAUAAUACGAAGCCACUCUUUUCACAGGGCAAUAAUGUACGACCCCAUAAUUCGCGUCCACUAAUUUGAGUCCCUUGGCUUUCAAUUAUUGGGCUGCGCAUUAUUGGUACAGGUCGAGAAAGCCCGACCCAAUAAUGUACGACCCAAUAAUUGGAAGCCAAAAACCAGAGACAUUCUUUUUUUUAAGGGAGCUGUCAAAAUUAGUAGGGACGUUCUGACAUUAGCUCUUGACAAUUUAAAAAUAAUCGGUUUUUUCUAGUGCCAUCUUUCAGUGACAUUGACAGUAUUGACACUUGUUGGUUUACAAAUACAAUAAAUGGAUUCUAAUAAAAGAAACAGUAGACUCAGUAGAGGUACGAGGUACUGAAAAAAUAUUAAUUAAUGGAGAAGCCGAAGUUGGAGGAAAACAAGAAGAUUCGAGGAGAAUGGUGUGGCACUUAAUGCCGCCGGGACAGUAACCUAGCUGCAGCUCCAACUCUAGGGAAUUGGGCUAAAUGAACGCAACACGUGAUCGACAGCCCACCUGCUUCCUGCCGAGCGUCCCUACACUUCCUCUACAUGGAUGCCUCGCUUAUUCUGCUCUACAAAACUUCUGAGCUGAUACAAGCAGCCAGAAUGAGUCUCUGCUGAGUCGCCGGCGCCGGACGUGCGUCGCGCGCCUCGGGCGUCUGACGUCUUCGUGUCAGUCGCCAAUUGCAGGAGAAGAUACGAAUAGUUAGGUAUAAAAGCUACUUUAGUCAACCUCGCCUCAGUACUGUUUGUAUUGACUGAAAUACAAGUAGCAUAUAUGAGACGUUCGGACGUAUCCGUGAAAAUACGAAGGUAAAGGAAAUUGCACUACAUUUUUAGAACCUAUUCACCUGUCAGUAAAAUAUUGAAAAGGAAUGUUCAUGAGUUUUAUAAUUUUCUUUCCUCCAACAGCUUCACAUGGAGCAAAUGUAAACCUUUUAUGUUAAUAAUAUCAGUAAUGUCAAGGUACAACGCUCUUUAGAUCAUAUUGCCAUUCCUUUUACUCGAGCGGCCUGUGGGUUAACUAUACGAAGCGAGCCUACAAUGCAUUAAAAGUGCAGUAUAACAAUGCAUUCACAAUGCUGUUGGGCUUACCUCGUAGAUGUAGUGCAUCUGGCAUCUUUUGCGAAGCUAGAAGUUUUCUGGCAAUCAUGCGCAAGAAAAUAGUAUCUCUGCUAGGUCGAGUUAGAAGCAGUCCCAAACAUACAUGUUCGAAAAGUAGAACUCCCUUAGAUCGUGUUUCAAUUUAUCGCCUCUCGUUGGCAAUUAAGGUGGUUCGCUUUCCAUACAAAAAACAAUUAAGUACCUAAUAGUGUGUAAUUACUUAAUAUAACGCAAUUGUUUUUUGUAUGGAAAGCGAACCACCUUAACUAUUCGCACAACGUUUUGUAGUUGCAGUAAGUACUUACAUAUGGCCGGUAAAAUUUUCGAAAUAGGUAUGUAUUUACGUACAGUGCUAAUUGCCGCACAUAGAAUAAUUAAAGUUGAUCAAUCGGAAUAUGUUCAUAAGUCACUUAUUACAUUUCGAUUUAUAAGUCUGUAUUUUCCAGCUUUAGAUGUGCAUGACUGUAUAUGCACAUCUAAAGCUGAAAAAUGCUUUCAUGAAUACGUUUAUAAUUAUGGCUAAAUUAUGUUAAUAGGGACAAAUGUAUCAUUUUCAACCAAAGGGGUACUUAUUAUCUGUUGUCAAUAAGGCGCUAAGUAUUUCCAUAAAGCUUCAAUUUGAAAUCAGCCUCGUCGACAACCGACAAUGUUAACCUUUUGGUUGAAAACGUCACAAAUUAUGGCGAUAGAGAAUACAAUGUUCUGUUGCCAGAGUGCAGCACUAGUAAAACCCGUAAACGAGUGAAUUGCAAAAAAGUGUAGGUAACACAAUGGAAUAUUCACAAAAAUAUGCAAGAAUGUAACACAAAAUGAAGAAAAUGUAUGUGUUUUUUUUUGUGUUACGUCACACAAAGGAAGCCAAAAUCGACGCCGCAAUAUUUUUCACGACGUGUAGAAUAAAAGUGGCGUCGAAUUCAGGAAUCCGCAAAUACCAUACCGAUAGCCAAGUAAUUUAUCUAUAGAACAAUGUUAAAACAGUAGUAGAAACGGUUAGUUUUGCAAACUUUUAGUAGAUUAGUUUGGUUUUGGUAGAUCUCUCGGUUUGGCAUGCUUGAUGCUCUUCACAUCACCACAGACGGAGGUCGACAGUUCGAAUCUGUCUUGUUCAACCAAUUGAUGGAGGCACAUGCACGCAUACGAACCACAUAUUACACUACCAUCCUGGAGCUAAUUGGAUUAUUUGCAUUUACUAUUAUAGUAUAUACCUAUGCCUUAUUUUUACGCCUAAGACCCUAUAAGCUUUUAACAAAAACCAUUAUUUCUUUUAUACCUACGGGCGGUUUAGCUCCCGUACCUACCUCUAUUAUACCUAGCCACGUGCUAAAGCAACAAUGUCCUUUAAAUCCGUAUCCUGUAUCGUGAUAGUAUUAAGAUUCAACUCGUCUACAUUGAGGUGGUCGAUCGUCCUAAAUACAUUACCAAAACAUGUUAACUCGUAUGAGCUGUUACAUAGAUUUGAACCUUAAUACUAUCAUGAUAAUUUUUUAUUAAUAUUUUUAAAUAAUUUGUUAAGCAUAUUUACACUUGCAAAUAUAAUUUGCAGCAUUCUAAUAUUAUGCUAUGGUAAACAUAUAACAUGUUAUAUAUUCGCGAUUCAUGUCAACAGCCCUAUUGUCAGGCCCCCUCCAGCAGCAGCGCCCCCGCCCCGCAGUAAUAGUUAUUUGUUUUACAAGGAGGCAAAGUUGUUGUUCAAUCGCUCGUGCUAAUAUUGAUACCCGAGCAAGCGAAAGAUUCCAAAAUUGAACCAAUAGCGUAGCGAGUGGUUAAAAAAAUGGAAUCUUGAGCGUUGCGAGGGUUUCAAAGCGCGAGGGUUAAACAAAAUUUGCCCCCGAGUGAAACACAAAAUUUUUCACCACACCAACCCGAAGCAAAUAUUAAAUGUAAAAUAUCAAACAAAAUCAAAUCCAAAUUAAUGUUACCUAUUAAACAUUUAUCAUCCAAAAUCAUCAUAAAAGUCAAUUCUACCAGCAAACAUAAGAAAACAACUCAAAAUUUGCAUUUGAUUACUUUGCCUCACAUGUGAAUAAAAUGCAACUUUGCUAUCAGUUUUUGAAGUGCAAAGUAAGCCUUUCCAAGUAGGUGUGGUGAAAUAGUUAUUUGUUUUACAAGGGGGCAAAGUUGUUGUUUAACCGCUCGUGCUAAUAUUGACACCCGAGCAAGCGAAAGAUUCCAAAAUUGAACCACGAGCGUAGCGAGUGGUUCGAAAAAUGGAAUCUUGAGCGUUGCGAGGCUUUCAAAGCACGAGGGUUAAAGAAAAUUUGCCCCCGAGUGAAACACAAAAUUUUUCACCACACCAACCCGAAGCAAAUAUUAAAUGUCAAAUAUCAAAGAAAAUCAAAUCCAAAUGAAUGUUAUUAAAUAUUUAUCAUCCAAAAUCAUCAUUUAAAAGUCAAUUCUACCAGCAAACAUAAGAAAACAACUCAAAAUUUACAUUUGAUUACUUUGCCUCACAUGUGAAUAAAAUGCUAGUAAUAAAGUGCUAUUGAAAGAGGCGGCUGUACAGGGCAUGGGGCCUAGGGCGGCGAAUAGUUAUUUACGAUACAAGUGCGGAAAAGAGGAAAUUCGAACGAGUGGCGAUAAAUUAAAACACGACCGAAGGGAGUGUUUUAAAUCCACACGAUUUGCAAAUUACCUAUUCGCGCAUGUAUCGUACAACGUUUUACAGUACAUGGCCCUUUAAACUUUUGACAUACGCACGAAAAGUGCUAUUUUACGCACUAGUGCGGGAAAAUAGGACCAUAUGUACUUUAAAUGAUAUUUUUAUUAUUAAUUUGUAUAAAUAUAUGAAUGUCAUUAGUCAUUGCCUACAUUAAAUGUACUUAAUCUAUGCUUCCAUAAAUAUAUUUACUAUCAUUAUCAAUAUAUUACAAGACGUUGCACAUA